GUCACUACCAACAACAACAACACCCUCUCUCUAGUUGCCACUCACCUCACCCCAGGUGGUAGAAUCCUCCUGAGGAGAACUUCUCCCAAUGAUUUCAGCAAACCGGCAGGUGGUUUAGGGGACAGUUGUGUCUCCAGUUUACCCAGUUUAUCCCAAGCCACAUGAGGCAUUAAAGGGAAGCACCAAGUUGUGACUUGUGCAUUAAGCAUCAAUGUAAUAGGAUUCCAAUUUCUGGUCCUAGUUAGUAGCUACCAUAGUCUCAAUUAACUGCAGUUUCUUUAAAGGCAAUUCCACAUUACAUUACAGUAGUUGAUCUUAGGUGUUACUAGCUAGAGCAAGGAUAGCCAGCAUGAUGGCUUCUGGAUGUUAUUGCCAAAUCUGGCUAAGGCUUAUGGAACUUGGAUGCCAACAGCAUCUGAAGAAUACCAUGUUGACUACGCCUAAACUAGGCCACGGAUUAGUGUAUUAGUCUACUUCCUGCUAAUACAGCUGCCCACCCCAUGUGAUGGAAGAACGAAAGAUAACACUGUGCAUGUUGAGUGUGCCAUGGCACUCACUACUCUAAACAUUUGCAACAUCUAGAAGCCCAGUUGAUAUUCAAUGUUGGAUCACAGUCCAGUCAUUGGGAAGCACACACAGAGCAAGGAAAUGUAACUCAUGUUUCAUAACUUCACAUGUUGUAUCUUGAACAUCUGGAAGAUGUCAGCGAAGACGGAUUCAUCCUGGCUGUAACUGCAUCUUGCUUACCAAGUUUCUAUUUAAAAAUAAAUGAAUUGGGAGGCAGUCUUUCUUUAUGAUUCACCUCUCUUAAAGAUGACAACAGAGCUCUCCUAGCUGAUAAUGGGCUAUCAUAUGAUGGAACAAGAUGUUCAUUUAUUGUUCUAAUGUAUGCUAUAAAAUAACAAUUCUCAGCCUUCAUAUAGAACAGUUUUGCAUGUCCAAAGUACUUUGGAGGAAUGGUUUCAAUGAUCCCAAAAUAAUUAUGCAAAAUAGGUUGGUGAUAUUAUUCCCAUGUUACUGAUAAAGGGGUGGGGCUACAGCCAAGUGGUACAAUGACUUGACCGAGGUCAUGAAACAAGUUCAGGAAAUUUUAAACCAGGAACUCCAUAGCUCAAAUAUGAGUCAAACUGCAAGCUCUCAAUUGUCAGGCGUUCGUCCUACACUCGAAUAGGACCCAGGCAGAGACACAUGCCCAACUGGCAUGUUCCCUCCCUCCUGGUCGAUCGUUCUGGAGGUUCAAAAGCUUUCUUCAGCCCAAACAUCACAGCGACCGAUGCCAACAGACACUGGCACACUUAGGGAUCCGCAGAGUCUUCGCAGCUUGCGUGACAGACAUCAGCAACUCAGCAUUUUGGCUAAUCUACUUUAUAUACAUAUCAACACACACGGAACACUGCAACAUGGCUCCCUCUCUCUCUAGCAUCAGACAGCAACGAGAAAAAACAAUGGACAAUAGUCCCACUUCAUGGAACACAGUAACACAAACACCCUGUCUCUGACACUUCCCACUCUGUGGAGUCAAAACAUAUACCAUCAUGUGAUAGACAACAAUCCCAUGACUGCAAUCAUGGAGCAGGAAUUCUAACACCAAUAAGUAUUAAAGUGAGUGGUGGUGGCUGUAGGAACAGAGACUUGCCUAGUGAAAAGGUGGGUAAUCUGGUGCCCUCCAGAUCUUGUUGGACUCCAACUCCCAUCAGCCCCUAGUGGCAUGGCCAAUGGUCAGAUGAAAUGGGAGUUGUAGUCGCCUGACAUCUGGGCAGCCAAUGAUCAUUGGAACCAGAUAUUUCCCAGCUUAAACAUAUUGCCAUUGCGCCAGCUCUGGUUACUUUUGAAUAGAAAGGCAAAAUGUUUCUACAGAGAGAGAGAGAGAGAGAGAGAGAGAGAGAGAGAAACCUAUUAUUGUGCUGGAAAAAAGCAGAUGAAGACAAUUCAGAGGCAGGAAAAUUGUACAUCAAUACAUUCUGAACACUCUAAUAUCAAAGGAAAAUGGCUUUUCUGUCAUGUUUCCUGACACAAAGAACAAGGAAAAUGAGCACAUAUUGUAUUGUGUGUUGCUGAAGCUGGUAACGGGCUUGUUAUUCAUGAUGGUGAUGGGGCUUGCUAUUGUUUCAUUAAUAAGCAAUUUCCUAGAUUUCUACCAGCUGCACUUGAAUGCGUACAAGCAAUCUUGCCUGUAAUUUAACUUCAUUUUUUGAAAGGGGUAAAAUGAAACUCUUUUUUUAAAAAAAAUCACAGUUACUUCUGUUUUAACAGCUUGCAGUCAAGGACACAAGAUCCCCCACCCCAACCUGGUGUUUUUUUUCCUUUUAAAAUUUAUUUUAUAGCUUUAAAAGGAUUUCUGUAAUUUGCAGUCUUUACUCUGAUGUGUGGGAGAAGACAAGGGAAGCAUUUCCUCCAGAAAAGCCAUGUGCUGCCUUUCAAAGGGAGAAAGAUGGAUAUUAGCUUGGUACAUGUGUGCUUUCCCCACUUUUGAGCUUUGCACAAUGUUUGACCAUUUUAAUGGAAAGAGUUUCUUUGGGUUCUGCAAACUAUGAAGUUUUCCUGCGCAAGCCCCAUUGAAAAGGGAUAUGGGCAGUGAAACAUGCUCAUUCAUUUCCAUGCCAUUCUCUUCCAUGGCUCCUGAAUUCAUUUCAUGAGGACUUGUGCAGGGUAAUCUCCUGGUGCACAAUGUCCACUUGAGAGUUCAACAAACAAUUUUCAACCUCUUGCCAUUUGGUGC